GGGCUUGACAUCCCACGAACCCGGAAACAUGGUCUUCCACUUCGGUGGACCGGGUGACAGGUGCCGCAUGGCUGUCGUCAGCUCGUGUCGUGAGAUGUUGGGUUAAGUCCCGCAACGAGCGCAACCCCACCUUUAGUUGCCAUCAUUCAGUUGGGCACUCUAGAGGGACCGCCGGUGUUAAUCCGGAGGAAGGUGGGGACGACGUCAAGUCCUCAUGGCCCUUAUGCCCAGGGCUACACACGUGCUACAAUGGGCGGCCCAAAGGGAAGGGACGCCGCGAGGCGUAGCAAAUCCCAAAAACCCGUUAUCAGUUCGGAUCGGAGUCUGCAACUCGACUCCGUGAAGUUGGAAUCGCUAGUAAUCGUGGAUCAGCAUGCCACGGUGCAUACGUUCCCAGGCCUUGUACACACCGCCCGUCACGCCCAGAAAGUCUGGUUGUACUGGAAGUCAGGUGA
rnacentral:rRNA from 1 species